AUGAAUGCCACUCUGAGAAAUGGAAAUUGCAUACCUUUUGUUGGUUUUGGGACAUUUAAAAUCAGAUCAAAAGAGGAUGUUCAAAAGACAAUAAAAGCAGCAUUAGAUGUGGGUUAUAGGCUAAUAGAUUCAGUGUCAACUAGGGAAAGAUUUCUGACUCUGUGAUAGACACUGAACAGUGAAGACACAGCAUCAGUCUAUAGGAAUGAAGCUGAGAUUGGGCAAUGUUUAAAAGAAUAUGUACCCAGCAACAAUCUAGAAAGAUCGGACAUUUUUAUCACCAGUAAACUUGGUAAGAAGAGGCAAGGUCAUAUAGAAUUGACUAUACUUAAUCUUACUGAAAGCAGACCCCGUUCAAAACCUGGGUCUGCUCUCUGUGUCCUCUAGAGGUCUGCUUUUUGGUCUGCUUAGGUGGACUCAGAGAUGCUGCAGAACAGACCUAGAGUGGACACCAAAAGCAGAUCUCAGUUUCAGAAGUAGACCCUGAGAGAGAAUUCAGCUUGGUCCUUACUAAUAAGUAACUAAUAGACCUGUCAAUCAGAAUUAUUUUUAAAAUACACUGACCAAUCAGAACACCGACCAAUCAGAUCUCUGGUUUACAACUCUUUCAUAAUUGAAUCAUUGUGCAGGGAAAACGAUCGUUUACAUUUAAUAUUUUACCUGAUUGUACAAUGCAAAUGUACAUAAUUAUAUAAAUAUACAGUAGCGGCCAGACACAACCUAAUACCAGUGCAGACCCCAAAAGCUGACCCCAGGUUAGCUUUGUAUCUGCUAGGAAUCUAAUCAGGGUCUUCUUUUUCAAUAUUUGUGUCUGCUUGGGCCCGUAUAGGGUCUGCUUUGGGUUUAUUGGUGUCUACUUAAGGUUUACUUGGGGUCAGGUCUUUUGGUAGUCUUUGAACUAAAAUGAAAUAGUUGUAAUUUUGUAGAUUGCUUUAUGUUCAUUGAUUUUUUAUCAAAUGAUUUCAACAAAAUGUUUAUUAAAGAAAUGAAUUCACUAUUAUUUUUAAAAAGAUAUUUUUUAAUUUUACUAUUUUUCAAACCCACAAUCAGUCUGUUUGAUAUGGUUUGUAUCAGACCUGUUUUGUGAUGAUAUUUGAUAGAUGGAAGAUUCAUUCCAUUUAUUCAGGAAGUAUUUAAUUACUGGUUUGUGAUGUAGUCAUCCAAUAAUGCUGUGGCAUUGGAUAUUCUUGAAUAUUUGAAGGACCAAAAGACCAGGGAGAGGGCACCUGUUUUGCGGCUUUCCAUCGGUCUCUGUCUAACUUAGACUGCCAGUACCUGGACCUGUACCUGAUUCACUGGCCAGGGACCCAGGGCAGGAAACCAGAUGACCCAGAUCAGGGGGAGCUGAGGGUGGGGAGCUGGCGCGAUCUGAUCAAGUUACAGAAGGAAGGUAAAGUAAAGAAUAUUGGAGUUUCUAACUUUCUUCAACACCACAUACAAGAACUGAUUGACAAAACAGGAGUCUGUCCAGAUGUUAUACAGACCGAGCACCACCCCCACUGUGUCCAGAGUGAGUUGAUAGAGUUCUGUAGGCGGACAGGAAUCUUCUACCAGGCUUACUCCUCCCUCGGAACCACCACCUCAAAUAAUCCGAUUCUUACAGAUCCAGUUGUCACUGAAGUGAGUCAAAAACUGGGGAAAAGUGUACCCCAGGUGCUACUUAAAUGGGCGGUCCAGCAAGGAAUAGGUGUCCUUCCAAAGUCUUGCAACCCUCAGCAUAUUCAGGAGAACAUAGACAUUUUCUCAUUCCAAAUUCCAGAGGAGGAGAUGCUGAAACUGAAUUCUUUGAACAGAGAAAAACAUUAUUGUUGGAAUCCUAAAGACAUUGUCUGAAUUUAUAUCUUCUCAUCAUGACAUGUUUAUAAAGAUUAUUUUGCAACUUUC
rnacentral:misc_RNA from 1 species